GUGAAUCAUCAAAUUUUUGAACGCAAAUUGCACUCUCUGGUAUUCCGGGGAGUAUGCCUGUUUGAGGGUCAUUUUAAAUAAAAAUCGGUUUGGUUGCUUCCUUUCGUGGUGACGCACCGGAUUUGUGUCGUCUUGCCCUCGGUUAAGUAACCUAAAAUAUUGCAUUAUUUUUUUCGAACGUAUUUAAGUGCUUUUACGUACCUUUGCUAUAACUCAUACUAGGUUUGUUAACCCUCAUUAGUCGCG
rnacentral:misc_RNA from 1 species